GUUGACAGUUCGGGCAGACUGAGGGGCCAAUGACAAUGGCACUGGACUUUGUCUCUACUGCACGGUCUAGGAAAUCAACCUGGCAUCUUAUCUCCUAGCAGAGACCUGCAGACACUAGGCUCCAGAAUCAGUAGCAUCUUCCUUUGUUAGUCAACAAUCACAGACCUUCAGUAUUAUCAGCGGGGCAUGUCUCUGGACCUGAAUUCCAGCAGACCUGAGUCUCCUGAUAUCCUUCCCUCCCCCUGACACCCUUCCCUUCCCCCCCUUUGCCCGUUUGCUAUAUAAUAGCCUCUGAGAGGGAAUAAACGGGACAGCUUGAUUAGAA